rnacentral:lncRNA from 1 species
AUAAUCAAAGAUCAAGGACUUAACCACAAGACAACUGUGAUGCCUCAGGUCAAAGGACUACUUUGCAUUAUCCCAACCAUGAGUUCUCAUGUGACAUGAGUAUGAGAACUCUUCGUUGAUCGCAUUCAGUGAACUCAUUCUCUACUGAGCACCUACGUACUUGUCUUGAUGUCACACACACCAAUGACUCGAGCUAGUCACUCUCCUUGAGAGAAGACAUAGCACGUACCGAUCUUGACGGACUGUCAAUGCCCAA